AGAGUUGGUCAGGCAAUCGCUCUUUGUGAAUACAAAGGGAGGAAAGUCCGGGCUCCGCAGGGCAAGGUGCCAGGUAACGCCUGGGAGGUGUGAACCUACGGAAAGUGCCACAGAAAAUAUACCGCCCGUUUGAUUUUUCUUAGCUUGCUAAAUAAAAACAAACGGGUAAGGGUGAAAUGGUGCGGUAAGAGCGCACCGCGCGAUUGGCAACAGUCGUGGCAGGGAAAACCCCACCUGGAGCAAGACCAAAUAGGAAUCCAUUUGACUGCAAAGUCAUAACGUGCGGCCCGUACCGGAUUCGGGUAGGUUGCUUGAGGCAUACGGUGACGUGUGUCCCAGAUGAAUGAUUGUUCGCGACAGAACCCGGCUUAUCGACCAACUCUACUU
rnacentral:RNase_P_RNA from 1 species